GAUCAUUACCGAGUGAGGGUCCCUCGGGGCCCAACCUCCCAUCCGUGUUGUCCUGACACCUGUUGCUUCGGCGGGCCCGCCGUGGUUCACGCCCCGGCCGCCGGGGGGUUCACGCCCCCGGGCCCGCGCCCGCCGAAGACCCCUGGAACGCUGCCUGGAAGGUUGCCGUCUGAGUAUACAAUCAAUCAAUUAAAACUUUCAACAACGGAUCUCUUGGUUCCGGCAUCGAUGAAGAACGCAGCGAAAUGCGAUAAGUAAUGUGAAUUGCAGAAUUCCGUGAAUCAUCGAAUCUUUGAACGCACAUUGCGCCCCCUGGCAUUCCGGGGGGCAUGCCUGUCCGAGCGUCAUUGCUAACCCUCCAGCCCGGCUGGUGUGUUGGGCCGCCGUCCCCCCUCCCCGGGGGACGGGCCCGAAAGGCAGCGGCGGCGUCGCGUCCGGUCCUCGAGCGUAUGGGGCUCUGUCACACGCUUCAGUAGAACCGGCCGGCUUGCUGGCCAUCACCUAUAUUUUUCUCUUAGGUUGACCUCGGAUCAGGUAGGGAUACCCGCUGAACUUAAGCAUAUCAAUAA
rnacentral:misc_RNA from 1 species